UACGAAUGUCAAAGCAAAGGUGGCUGUCGGACUCUGCAGAAUUCACCUUCGUUUGAUACGGUUAACCUCGAUGGAGGCUUGCAAGAAGUAUGGAUUUUACUUGCCAUGGCGCUAGGCUACCGAUUGUGUGCUUACUUUUGCCUGCGCAAAAGAAUCAGUGGAUGUCAUAUUUGAGCAGGAUUCUACUUUGCUGAUGAAUAUAUGUAACAAAAGACAAAGGUCGAGGGGCUUUGAUUACUCCUCACCUGUUAACUUUUGAAUUCCAAGCAUGUGCAGAAGUUCUAAAACAAUGUCAUUAAAUUUUCAAGGUGUC
rnacentral:lncRNA from 1 species